rnacentral:rRNA from 1 species
GAUGAACGCUGGCGGCGUGCCUAAUACAUGCAAGUCGAGCGAACAGACGAGGAGCUUGCUCCUCUGACGUUAGCGGCGGACGGGCGAGUAACACGUGGAUCACCUACCUAUAAGACUGGGAUAACUUCGGGAAACCGGAGCUACUACCGGAUAAUAUAUUGAACCGCAUGGUUCAAUAGUUCAAGACGGUUUUGCUGUCACUUAUAGAUGGAUCCGCGCCGCAUUAGCUAGUUGGUAAGGUAACGGCUUACCAAGGCAACGAUGCGUAGCCGACCUGAGAGGAUGAUCGGCCACACUGGAACUGAGACACGGUCCAGACUCCUACGGGAGGCAGCAGUAGGGAAUAUUCCGCAAUGGGCGAAAGCCUGACGGAGCAACGCCGCGUGAGUGAUGAAGGUCUUCGGAUCGUAAAACUCUGUUAUUAGGGAAGAACAAAUGUGUAAGUAACUAUGCACGUCUUGACGGUACCUAAUCAGAAAGCCACGGCUAACUACGUG